rnacentral:antisense_RNA from 1 species
CUUGAUGGAACCCAGCAGCAGCGGCUGCUCCGCCGGCCGGUCCUGGCCGUACGUCGCCAGCAGGGCCUGCGCCUC